GACGAACGCUGGCGGCGUGCCUAAUACAUGCAAGUAGAACGCCGUUGCGAACGGGUGAGUAUCGCGUAUGUAACUUGCUUAUUGCGGGGGAUAACCUUUUGAAACGAUUGCUAAAUCCCCAUUCUUUGGGCUAGAUCUGCGUUGUAUUAGCUAGUUGGUGGGGUAAAGGCUCACCAAGGCGCCGAUACAUAGCCGACCUGAGAGGGUGACCGGCCACACUGGGACUGAGACACGGCCCAGACUCCUACGGGAGGCAGCAGUAGGGAAUAUUCGGCAAUGGGCGGAAGGCUGAUCGAGCAACGCCGCGUGAGUGAAGAAGGCUUUCGGAUUGUAAAGCUCUGUUGUUAGAGAAGCGGUAACGGAAUAGAAAGCGACGGCUAACUACGUGCCAGCCGCCGCGGUAAUUC
rnacentral:rRNA from 1 species